AUAGAAACCUUCUUCGAAC
rnacentral:misc_RNA from 1 species